UGGGAUGUAGCUCAGAGGUACAGCACUUGCCUAGCAUGCAUGAGUCCCUGGGUUCAAUGCCCAGCACUGCUA
rnacentral:tRNA from 1 species